UAUUACCCCUAUUAGAUUCUCCCGUUUGUCUUUUCUUUGUGCACCGUCAUCGCAUCAUGCAUAUCAUACCAUGUCACUUUGGUUCUUAUCAAUUUGCAUUUGGAUUUUAUCUACCCUCUUUAUUUUAUAUUAUUGGUUUUUCUCGCUCUCUCUUCUCUCUUGUUCUAUCUUCCAAGCUUCAAGCCUACCUACCUAUUUCUACACUUGGGCACUUUUAAAAAUGUCAUGCCAAUUUUUCUAGUAAAUAUCGGUUGAUAUUAAACCCGCUCUCUUUAAUCUCUUAUCUUGCAAUUAAUCAACUUAAGAAUAAUUUUGGAAUGUUGAAAAUGUUUUUUUUUCUUGGUUUCAGAUAAAUAAAGAUAUUAUGUUGAAACUACUUCUGUCACUUCUCUCUACCUUUGUUUCAAAUUCUAACUUGUUUUCCAAUGGUUUAAAUAAAAUCAGAGAAAGAAAAAGGAAUAAAAGAAAUAUAUAAAAAAAUCAGCCCAAGCUCUAUCUUCUCUUCAUAGCACAAGCCCAUCUAACCUCUUUCUUCUUUUCCUGGAACGACCAACGCAGUGCCCUGGCUCCUUGCUUCCCGUACACGAGCACGAGGCUUGCGUGCUCUGCUUUAUCCCACCUGCUCCUCCACUUUCCCCUCCUCUUUCCCCCUCCAAAUCAACCCCCCAACCCUAGCUGCCUACUUCCUCUUGCCGCCGCCGCCGCCCCAUCUUCUAUCCCCUCCACAAAAGGAUUCAGAGGAGAACAACCAGGGACAAUUUGGAAUUUUCAGUCACCGAUUUCGCCGGAGAAAGGUCGACGCCUCGCCGCCACUGUUCCUCGCCGCCGUUCGCCGUACUGAGCACGGGGAUGGAGCCCCUGUGGUCUCCGUUCUUCCCUUGCUGAGUCCCUGGAGCAGGAGCAGCUCUAGGACGUCUUCUUAGACCUCGUCUUCUUCCUGGAGCCGCGCGCCUCUACUUCCUCUUCCUCGUCUCCAUCGCCCCCGAGCUCGAGCGUCUCGCCAUCGUCGUCCUGGGUGAGAACUGUCUUGCCUCCACCCUCUCCAUGUUCGUUCUGUCGCAGUAGUUUUCCCUGUCGAGAGGUUAACACACGCACACACCACACACUGCACACCACGGGCACGUUUGCUGCUGCUGCUUGCUCGCUGGCCACGCACUCCCCAUCACGCGCUACUCUGCUUUGCUAAUUCCAGUCGCCAUCUUCGUUUCUUCACAGACGCUCGCAGACAGCUGCCAGUCUUCAGCUAUGUAUGUCUUCGUCAGUUCAGUUCCAAGCAGCACGAUCCCCUCCUUUGAAUUAAGCAAAGUUGUACGCCAAUAGCUUUGCUUCUUUCUCCUUGACCAGAUUGAACUGGGAUCCUUUCACGACAGCAUCAAGUCCCAACCUUUUGCUUAUUCUUAUCGAUGCAUAAUCUUGUGUUGCUUCAAAAGAACGUGCACACCUCACGCUACCUUCAGUUACACCCAGUACUUCUAUCUUUGUAUCCAAUGCCAGAUAGUCCUCGGCUCUGCAAGUUUUCCUUUUUAUUUCUCUUUACAAAUCCUGUCUUUUUUAUAUCUUUUAAACUACAACCGCUAAUACAAUGUGAUAUAUAUGAAUCUUGCUAAUAAAAUGCUUUAAAUAAUAAUAUGACAUUCAUAUGCAUGUUUAUAUCUCGCAUCUUGUCGUUCUGUUAUAGUUUGCAUCACACUUAAUAAUUAAACGCGGAGUAUUUAGGAAUUACCGGCUACGGUUCCUCGCUCCGAUUAAAAUUGAUGUAGCUCACCCGUGCCAUGUCUUGCCAUGCUAAAUAACACUUAAUAUUGCCGGUAGAAAAGUAACUCGAACAUAAUAAUUAUGUGUCGGAAUUCCGAUUCCGCUUAAAUUGGAUAAGUGGAUCGCAUCAUCCUUGCCAUGUCAUGCAUAUCAUCUUGAGCAUGCCGACUCUUUAUCCGUAGUAGUAAGAUUGCAUACGUUGUGUGUUCCAGCAUUUGCUUCUUCCCGGAUAGGAUCACGAAGUGGUGAUGUGAGAUACGACGAGUUCUCCGACAAGUUCUUCUGCAGCUUUUCACAGGCGAGCCCACCCCUUCACCUAUUUUACUUUUACAUGCUCUUUUGAUCUAUUGCUAUCCUUAUGUUGCGAUUCUGUUGUGUCACGUGUCCUAUCCACCUGUUACCUAUAUGUCCGAGAUACGCCUCCUCGCCCUACCUAUUGUUUGUUGUUUGCCAGCCUUGCGAGUCGUAGGCGUGUUUAGGCUCUGUUGUUUAUCUCGAUCUGUUAUCGGGAUAUGUUGGGUUGUUGGGAGGUUUUUUUUUUUACAUGCUAUAUCAUUUGUUGGAGAUAAUCACACUUUACUUUAUUGUUAACAACUAAAAUUGUAAGCAGAGGCAUCUGUGAGCCCCUUUGCGAAAGCAUCGGAACUUUGACUUGCUAAUGUCCCCUAGGACCCGAGUUCUUGUUAUCUGUUCCGAGAUUGAGCGCUCUACCCAUACGUGGGGGAGUGGGACCCCCAUCACCCACUACCUUUCCUCGAGUCUGUUUAUUGGGAGCCACAACCUUGGUUUUAUUUGCUCAUAUGCACGAUGCACGAUUUACUUCUGUUGCCUUCGGGUGUUUAUAUUAUGUUCUGUACUCAUAUCGUGGAACGAUUAGCGACAGCAGGUUGUUCACACUUAGCUUAGCCGUUGGCACAAACCUCUGGGUCCGUAUCGGAGUACGGCCGAACUUCGUCACGGGUAGCUUAGUUGGGUGGCUCCCAUUAAACUUUCUCUUGCAUUGGGAACGGUCUUGAUGUGAGACUCCACCUGUAGUAAGUGGGUUCGAGCAUGCGUAUGGUUACAUUUGGGCAACCCCUGCAGGGUGUACAUCUUAUCGAUAAGCCGUGUCCGCGGUUAUGGACGACUUGGAAUUGUAUGGCUUGAUCAUAGAACAACUUACACCUUAUACUUGUUGUUAAUAAUCUGAUAAUAACUUGUGUAGUAAUAUAGCAUUACCACAACCGAUACCUAAUAAAAUUUGUCCACCGUUGAGUGCCUUUUACAUUGCCUCUUCGCUUUGUUGAAGGGGAUAUGUGUAAUCGGCUGGGUUAUGUUUGUGUAGUAUUUAUCUGUUACCUUGUGCGCUCUCUUAUCUUCUCUGAGUAGACGGAUGUUGUAGCGUGUCUCUAUUGGAUAGUAGCUUUGCUGCCGCUAAACUCCACAUAUAGCCGGGUGAAGUUUAUACCGCCCACCAGCGAGCAUAGCUGGUCUUGUCUCGCAAGUACGUGCCAAUGGUACUUACCCUCGCCUUCCUUUCUUUUUGUCUCCUCCCCCUUUUGUCGGCAACCGAUGGCCCGACUUUGACAGGUACGAGAUGAUGACGUUAGCAAGGUUACCCUUCCGGCUUGGCCUGGGCAGGGUUAUGGACGCCAUUGGUUAUCUUCAGGACUCUUAGUCCAAUUUGUAUCUUGUCCGUACUCGGACGUAUUCGAUCUUCUGUAUGAUUUGGAUCUUUGUAUUGUAUAUUUGUAUCUUGACUCG